AAAUCUUAACUUCUGGAAGGGAUGCUUUAUUUGGUAAAAGGUCAAUGCUGGCUCAUGCCAUUUUCCAUGAUGACUCAUGAUAACUUGUCGGAUCGCAUGGCCCUUGUGUCGGCGACGCAUCAUUUGAAUAUCUGCUCUGUGUAGGGGCCUACUAUGGUGGUGACAGAUGACGAAGAAUUAGGGUUUGAUUCUAGAGAAGGAGCCUGAGUGACAGCUAACACAUCAAAGAAAGGGAGCAGGCGCACAAAUUACCGAAUCCUGACAUAGGGAGGUAGUGAUGAUAAAUAAUAUUACCGAGCUCUUCGAGUCUGUUAAUUGGAAAAAGUACAAUCUAAACCCCUUAACAAUAAUCCAUUGGAGGGCAAGUAUGGUGCCAGCAGCUACGGUAAUUCUAGCUCCAAUAGCAUAUAUUUAAGUUGUUGCAGUUAAAAAGCUCAUAGUUGGACCUUGGGAUGGGACGGUCGGUCCACCGCACGAUGUGCACCGCAUGUCUCAUCCCUUAUGUCAGCGAUGCGUUCCUGGAAUUAAUUGGUUGGGUCAUGUCUCUGGCGCAAUUACUUUGAAGAAAUUAGAGUGCUCAAAGCAAACCCAUGCUCUAGAUAUAUUAGCAUGGGAUAACACCACAGGAUUUUGGUCCUUUUAUGCUGGCCUUCGAGAUCAGAGUAAUGAUUAAGAGGGACGGUCGGCGGCAUUUGUAUUUCUUAGACAGAGAUGAAAUUCUUGGAUUUAUGAAAGACGAACCACUUCGAAAGCAUUUGACAAGAAUAUUUUCAUUAAUCAAGAAUGAAAGUUGGGGGCAUGAAGAUGAUCAAAGACCAUCCUAGUCUCAACCAUAAACGAUGCCGAUCAGGGAUCAGCGGAUGUUGCUUUUAGGACUCCGCCGGCACCUUGUCACAAAUCAAAUUCUUUGGGUUCCAUGAAAUGACGGCCGUAACUAUCAAUCAAUCAACACUACAAAACUCAACCAGGAUCAAACUCCACGGUGUCAUCAGCUAGGAGGUUUAAAAGCUUUCUGGGGAGCACAUUGCCCCUUUAAAAGAAAAAGCACCCUAACGAGCCAAAAAAGUGCAAAAAUUUACUACCCGAUUCUCACAACACGAUCGGUUUGCAAAAAUUACAUGAAGUACAUCUAGUAGAAAAACAAGGGAACUAGCAUGUCUCUCUCCACCUCAUGAAUAGGGUUCGCUCCCCGAGGCAGUGAAACCUCCGGAUCGCUCCCAAGCAGCCUCCCUCAAUAAUGACUCCAUCAACCUCAAACUCAGUAGCUAGGAGCGCUUGCCGCAAAAAGGUCACUGUCUAAAUCUCUACCUGAAGAGCAGAU
rnacentral:rRNA from 1 species